CCAGGAUGGUCUCGAUCUCUUGACCUUGUGAUCCGCCCGCCUCGGCCUCCCAAAGUGCUGGGAUUACAGGCGUGAGCCACUGCACCCAGCUGCUAGCUAUUAUUUCUAAUCCUUUGCCAUGCUCAGGUAUAAUCUUCCCAAAUCCAGAAGUAAUUUUAUAACUUCAGCUAAUUGCAGUGAUAAAUUAUUGAAAUAUUUUCCUAAAGAAAAUACACAAAUGAAACCUUAAAAAUACAAGGACUGGGCCGGGCACAGUGGCUCAUGCCUGUAAUUCCAGUACUUUGGGAGGCCUAGCUGGGUGGAUCACCUGAGGUCAGGAUUUCGAAACAAGCCUAGCCAACAUGGCGAAACGUCGUCUCUACUAAAAAUGCAAAAAUUAGCUGUGCAUGGUGGUGGGCGCCUGUAAUCCCAGCUACUCGGGAGGCUGAGGCAGGAAAAUCGCUUGAACCUGGAGGCGGAGGUUGAAGUGAGGCUAGAUCUCACUGCUGGACUGCAGCCUGGGGCAACAGAGCAAAAACUGUCUAAAAAAAAAAAAAAAGGCUGGGCGCUGUGGCUCAUGCCUGUGAUCCCAGCACUUUGGGAGGCCAAGGCGGGCAGAUCACGAGGUCAGGAGAUGGAGACCAUCCUAGCUAACACAGUGAAACCCCGUCUCUACUGAAGAUGCAAAAAAUUAGCGGGGCAUGGUGGCGGAUGCCUGUAGUACCAGCUACUCAGGAAGCUGAGGCAGGAGAAUGGUGUGAACCCGGGAGGCAGAGCUUGCAGUGAGCCGAGAUCGCUCCACUUCACUCCAGCCUGGGCGACAGAGGGAGACUCUGUCUAAAAAAAAAAAAAAAAAAGAAAGAAAGAAAGAAAGAAAGAAAGAAAGAAAGAAAGAAAGAAAGAAAGAAAGAAAAGAAAGAAAGAAGGUAUAGUAAAUUAUGAAAGAGAAAAAGAGAGACUAAGCAUCUUCAACAAGAAAAAUGAAAAUAAUAAAAACUAUACAAUUGCAAAACAAUAACUCUUGUUAAAAUAUUUUACAUGUCAUAUUGUAAAUAAGACACCCUCAGUGUAUGCAGAAAUGACUACAUUAGUAUAGGAAAGAGCUGUGAUUGUAGAUAUAUAAACUAGAGAAAUGAGAAUCAGAAAUAAGUUUAUCAACUAGAAGAGAGAAGAAAUUUUUAUUUGAGUAAAUCUACUGUCUAUAAUUUAAAAAUACACAAUGGUAUUUCUUUCAUUAAAUAGCUUUAUUUAAAUAUAAAAAUAAAAGCUUAUACAUAGGCCAGAAGAAACAUUGCUGGUUUAUAAUAAGGUUCAUAGGAACUAAAACAGGGUAAUUAGAUAAGACAGUGUGUAAAUAAUUAUGUUAUUUUAGUAAAAAUAUCCAACACUGUUCCUUUCAAAUAAAAAUAUAUUUUUUAAAGGUCAACAAAAAGUUAUUGUGCUUCAAAUUUUAACAUUUAUCCUGCAAGUAAAAUUACUAUAAGAAGAAACAACUAACCUAUAAAUAAAUAAUCUACUUUUUGGAAAAGUUAACAAACCUCUCUACACACAAUAUAAUUAAGAAAGAUAAUAAGAAACAUAUAUAAUUUCAAGAUUUUCAAUUUUUUUUUACUAAGCCAGAGAAGAUAAAUGAGUUAAUCAUUCAUGUCAGUAAGUAAAUACAGGAUCAAAAAACAUACCUAAUGGAAGGAAAUUAAUAACAGAAAAGUAAAAAUUAUAAUCUAGAAAAUGAAAAAUAUAAAUCGAUUCAUAAAUGGAUAAGACUUUUAAGACUUUUUUUGAAGAAAUCAUUUCAAACUAGAAUAAGCAAGAGGAAUAGAUCAAAACAAAAAGGAAAACAGUGAAGGUGAUAUACACAUCCUCUUACUGAAAGUUAAUUUUAAAGAACUGCUUUGUAAACACUAAAACUCAGAGUCCUCAAUGUGUCUGGAUAUGGAUUCAUUUUUAUUUCUUCUGCUCAGCACUUGUUUUAUACUUUAAAUUAGAGUCCUCAAGUCUUUCCUCUGCAAUGGAAAUUUUAUGGCAUCAUGUAAAGUAUACAAAUAGUGAAGGCAUUGCCAGUGUUUUCUUGUGUAUAAGUAUUCUCUACCAUUAGAAUGGAAACGUCAUCAAAGUGGGCCCUUAGUGAGAGUUUGCUGAGUGGAUGAAUACUGUCCUUAAAUAUGACUUCUCCAUUCUCUUUGGACUCCUUUUGAAACUCCUAUCAUACAUGUGUUGGGGACUUUCUUGACUGGUCUUUCUGACUUUUAAAUCCUUUUAUCUGGAUAAAUUCAUCAUUAUCUCCCAAUUGACUAAUUCUUUGUGUUUAUUGCAUUUACACUUCUUUUUUAUAUAAUUUUCAUUUCUAG
rnacentral:lncRNA from 1 species